GCGCGCGCGCCACUGCCAAACAACCCUAUGUUAGAAUUGUGUCUCUUCCGCUUGCUAGCUAAAUGGCCUUAGCUUCCCUGAGCGUCUGAAUCUGGGUUGAAGGCGAAAUGGUGCGAUGUAGAAAGAUGACGGCUGGCGUUUCACAGGCCCGCAGUGGCGCCCAUUCAUGACAGCUGUGUUUCGAAUGGCCUUGCUGGUUUUUGUCUGCCCGCGUCUGCCUGCUCUCCAAGCAACCUCCGGCCCCAGCCAACUACCCGCCGUCCUGCCUUUGAAUGGCAGGACACACAACCGCCGUCCCUUUUCAGGGUCCAAGCCAUUCUUGCAUCCUCUGAGUAGAACAAAGUCAAUCAACAGAGAAUAAAAAGGAGAUUGAAGAGAAAUAGAUUAAUUACAUGGAAACAGAAGUUGUAAUAUUAGAAAUCAUGUCUGUCUUGGAGGAGCCACCACAGGCACCAGGGAUGCCAGACAGACUUACUGAAUUGGAACCUCAGAUAAGCUCCCUUCCUCAUUGCAGGAGAUGCCUGGUUAUUGGAACCAAGAAUGUGACCAAGGAUCUGGAGUGUAAUUUUCUCGUGUGGGAUGUGAAGGAGUAGAAACAAAGCAACUUCCAGCAACUUUUUUUCAUCUUUCUCACAAAGACAGGCUCAAAUCCUUUAGUUCCGCUUUAAUCAUCUGCCUCAUGACAAGUCCUCAGAUUCCCCAAAUAACUGUGUCAAAUCAAAUUAAAAUUUUAAUUCCACACUGGAAGAUGGCAGGCAGAAUGCCUCUGGUGAUCUCGGAGUCCCUUCUCGCCGUGUUCUGAAGACAGCUGCUGAGACGCUCAUUCAAGGAUCAGUGGCUGGAUUAGAGGAAAAAUGGAGAGCGGUUGUUGCAAAGGUGUCAAACCGCUUGGAAUGCUGCCAGCAACCUGGUUCUGGAGCCGGUAGUGGGUGCGUGUGAGGAAUGGCGUGCUUGCGCUUGGGCGAAAUAUGUCCAAAGGAGCCACCUCCUCUGUGUUGUCAUUGCGUUGCAUCCAGAAGAAUGUGCUCCUUGGCCAGCUUGCCUCUGUAUGGAACCAUUGACAGACCAGAGCGUGGAUGACUUUGUACCAUCGGGGCCAUGCUUUGCAUUAAAGCAACACGGUCAUUGUUCAGCCUCCGCCGGCGGGCUGUUGACACUUUGUUGACAGUUUACUGUCUCUCUCUUCUUACCUACUGUCUCCCACUCAGCCUCCAGAUUCUCAGGGUUACCUGUCCUACCACCCACUCUCCUGCUAACGUGCUCUCGGGAUGUCUGGGAGAGUGGCCCAAGGACAGGGAGUGGGACGAAAACGGGGAGUGAUAUCAGAGGGUGGAAAGGGGUUACGGCCAGAGCAGGGAGAGAUGUGUGGGCUAAAAGAAGUUACUGUGUGCUCACCAGCACUCCCAGGCCUUUCCUGGCACACUGCAAGCUAGUCAUGGAAACGGGACCGCUCUGAGGGGCUCUCAAGUACGAAGGCUGCAGCUGCUGCAUUUAGCAAGUGAGAAUAAAAGACAUCCAGUUAUUUCUGAAUUUCAGAGAAGCAGCAUUUUUUUUUUAAG